GGGGGGUGCGUUGAUCGGGAUUUUGGGCGUAAGGGCUCGCAGGCGGUUUCUUAAGUCUGAUGUGAAAGCCCCCGGCUCAACCGGGGAGGGUCAUUGGAAACUGGGGAACUUGAGUGCAGAAGAGGAGAGUGGAAUUCCACGUGUAGCGGUGAAAUGCGUAGAGAUGUGGAGGAACACCAGUGGCGAAGGCGACUCUCUGGUCUGUAACUGACGCUGAGGAGCGAAAGCGUGGGGAGCGAACAGGAUUAGAUACCCUGGUAGUCCACGCCGUAAACGAUGAGUGCUAAGUGUUAGGGGGUUUCCGCCCCUUAGUGCUGCAGCUAACGCAUUAAGCACUCCGCCUGGGGAGUACGGUCGCAAGACUGAAACUCAAAGGAAUUGACGGGGGCCCGCACAAGCGGUGGAGCAUGUGGUUUAAUUCGAAGCAACGCGAAGAACCUUACCAGGUCUUGACAUCCUCUGACAAUCCUAGAGAUAGGACGUCCCCUUCGGGGGCAGAGUGACAGGUGGUGCAUGGUUGUCGUCAGCUCGUGUCGUGAGAUGUUGGGUUAAGUCCCGCAACGAGCGCAACCCUUGAUCUUAGUUGCCAGCAUUCAGUUGGGCACUCUAAGGUGACUGCCGGUGACAAACCGGAGGAAGGUGGGGGAUGACGUCAAAUCAUCAUGCCCCUUAUGACCUGGGCUACACACGUGCUACAAUGGACAGAACAAAGGGCAGCGAAACCGCGAGGUUAAGCCAAUCCCACAAAUCUGUUCUCAGUUCGGAUCGCAGUCUGCAACUCGACUGCGUGAAGCUGGAAUCGCUAGUAAUCGCGGAUCAGCAUGCCGCGGGUGAAUACGUUCCCGGGCCUUGUACACACCGCCCGUCACACCACGGAGAGUUUGUAACACCCGAAGUCGGUGAGGUAACCUUUUAGGAGCCAGCCGCCGAAAGUGGGACAGAUGAUUGGGGUGAACUAGAAAAAAACCCCCUCGACAAGAAUAAAGGGGGACGGGGGGGGGGGAGAAU
rnacentral:rRNA from 1 species